rnacentral:rRNA from 1 species
UUUAGAAAAUUUUAUUAAAACUAGAUUAGUAUUAGUUAAAUACUUAAAAAUUAAAAGAUUUGGCGGUGAUUUAAUCUUUUCAGAGGAAUUUGUUUUUUAAUCGAUAAACCACGAAAAAUCUUACUUGUUUUUGUUAAAAUCAGUUUGUAUACCAUCAUUAUCAGAUAAUUCUAAAAAAGAAAAAUUGUCGAAUAUAAAUUUUUAUUUAAAUUAGAUCAUGGUGCAGCUAAUAAACAAGGUAAAAUGAAUUACAAUAAAUUGUUUUAUAAAUGAAUUAAUAAGAUAAUUCUUGUUAUGAAGGAGGAUUUGAUAGUAUUGUAAAUUUAAUAAGUUUACAAGACAAAGGCUCUAAAUCAUGUACAUAUCGCCCGUCGCUUUCAUUUAUAAAUGAAAUAAGUCGUAACAUA